rnacentral:rRNA from 1 species
GACGAACGCUGGCGGCGUGCCUAAUACAUGCAAGUCGAGCGAGCGGAACUAACAGAUUUACCUCGGUAAUGACGUUAGGAAAGCGAGCGGCGGAUGGGUGAGUAACACGUGGGGAACCUGCCCCAUAGUCUGGGAUACCACUUGGAAACAGGUGCUAAUACCGGAUAAGAAAGCAGAUCGCAUGAUCAGCUUUUAAAAGGCGGCGUAAGCUGUCGCUAUGGGAUGGCCCCGCGGUGCAUUAGCUAGUUGGUAAGGUAAAGGCUUACCAAGGGGAGGAUGCAUAGCCGAGUUGAGAGACUGAUCGGCCACAUUGGGACUGAGACACGGCCCAAACUCCUACGGGAGGCAGCAGUAGGGAAUCUUCCACAAUGGACGCAAGUCUGAUGGAGCAACGCCGCGUGAGUGAAGAAGGUUUUCGGAUCGUAAAGCUCUGUUGUUGGUGAAGAAGGAUAGAGGUAGUAACUGGCCUUUAUUUGACGGUAAUCAACCAGAAAGUCACGGCUAACUACGUG